UCGAGUGCGCGCUUGUAGCAAUACAAGUGGCGCACGGCGCACGGGUGCGUAACACGUGGGUAACCUGCCCUUUGGUGGGGAAUAACCUCGCGAAAGCGAGGCUAAUUCCGCAUAAGAUCCGCAAGGAUGAAAGCCGCAAGGCGCCGAAGGAGGGGCCCGCGCACGAUUAGUUAGUUGGUACGGUAACGGCCUACCAAGACUAUGAUCGUUAGCUGGUCUGAGAGGAUGGCCAGCCACACUGGAACUGAUACACGGUCCAGACUCCUACGGGAGGCAGCAGUGGGGAAUCUUGCGCAAUGGGCGAAAGCCUGACGCAG
rnacentral:rRNA from 1 species